AUAAAAAGUCACGGAAAGCAACUGAAGAAGAUAACAACAAGUCUAUGUUUGCCCACAAGCGGCCAUUUUUGACGGCUUUGACAGGUCGUUGGAAUGCCUACUACAGAAAGUCUUUGAUGUUUCAUACAAGCAAAAUAGGAAGCUGAAAUGCAUUUUGUAUGUUUAUUUGGAUGAGAUUGACAAUUCUGACAAAAACGUUAUUGAACAGGUUUUAUUCCAGCAAUACUUGGGCUGUCUGAGCAACAAUACAAAAUUAAAACAGUUUGUUGUUUAUUAAUAACGAAAAUACUAGGUCUCAAAUUUCGUUCAGCUUGAAAUCUCCUCUAAUAAAUUCAUUUCAUGAA